UGAAGAUAAAAUAAUGAUUCAAAUUAGCAGAUUAUAGCAAUAAAUCUCCUGCUUUAUCAGUGGUUUUAUUGCUAGUAAUAGCUACAUGUGUAUACAGACAGAUAAGGGGAGAGAGAAUCUGCAAAGCAGUCCUUUAUGUAGAAUUUCACCGUAAAAGUUUCCUAAAACUACUGUAUAGUUGGUGAUGGUUUCUCUUUAAACAUUUAUCCAUCUGCAGCAGAAACUCCUAUACACCCAAUUUGGGGAGUUCAAUGUUUAGCUCCAUAUUGCACUCUAUGUACUGGGAGCCAUUUUUAAAAGACUCAGUUAAUGUAUUCCUUGCAGUAGCAACCCAAACAGAUUACCAAAGCAAUAACUUUCCAAAAUGCUUUGCAAUCAGAGGGGGCUUGAAAUUGCCCCGCUCACUCACUGUAAAGGUAAAUCUGAAACAUUCUCUAUAAAUUCCUACAUUGCUGUGUACGACAAUGUAUAAAAAUCCAUGAACAUUUGUCUGGCUACAGACAGGUAUUCAGGACAUAGCACUUAAAUAACUGAACUGUUGUAUGGAUGUUAUUUUAUAUUUCCUUUUUGGUGUGGGGGAAUUAUAACUCUUACCAAUAAUCUGCUCAGACCGUUCCAUGUAUUUGUAUGAACAUUGUUUUUUUUUUUUGUUAACCUCUUGCAACCAUUGGACAUCCAGACAAGCUGCGAUAG